UACGGAGGGGGCGAGCGUUAUUCGGAAUUAUUGGGCGUAAAGGGCGCGUAGGCGGCUUGUUAAGUCAAAGGUGAAAUCCCUCGGCUCAACUGAGGAACUGCCUUUGAAACUAGCGAGCUUGAGGCCGGGAGGGGGUAGCGGAAUUCCCAGUGUAGCGGUGAAAUGCGUAGAUACUGGGAGGAACACCAGUGGCGAAGGCGGCUACCUGGACCGGUACUGACGCUGAGGCGCGAAAGCGUGGGGAGCGAACAGG
rnacentral:rRNA from 1 species